rnacentral:lncRNA from 1 species
AAUGCAGUUUAUGAGUUGUAUUAGUUUCUCGUAUGAUGAUUACCUUUCCUAGUUUACUCCAAUUGAAAUUAAACUUUCGAAGUCAUUACAAAGAUUGAUAUUAGUUUCUCGUAUGAUGAUUACCUUUCCUAGUUUACUCCAAUUGAAAUUAAACUUUCGAAGUCAUUACAAAGAUUGAUAUUUAUGUUCAAAGUAGUUAGAUUUUUAUAGUGCUUGGCAGCUUGAAUCAAUGAGAUUUGUUUAAAGUAUUGAAAGGCAUAGUGUCACCAUCUGACCGACAAUACUGACGACUGCGAAAACAACACUUAAAAGUUUAGGAGAGUACUUAGAACAGAUCAACUUAACUAUUCGAUCGAAGGCCAAUUGGUUUUGUCUGCAA